rnacentral:rRNA from 1 species
GACGAACGCUGGCGGCGUGCCUAAUACAUGCAAGUAGAACGCUGAAGGAGGAGCUUGCUUCUCUGGAUGAGUUGCGAACGGGUGAGUAACGCGUAGGUAACCUGCCUGGUAGCGGGGGAUAACUAUUGGAAACGAUAGCUAAUACCGCAUAAUAGUAGAUGUUGCAUGACAUUUGCUUAAAAGGUGCAAUUGCAUCACUACCAGAUGGACCUGCGUUGUAUUAGCUAGUUGGUGGGGUAACGGCUCACCAAGGCGACGAUACAUAGCCGACCUGAGAGGGGGCUCGGCCACACUGGGACUGGGACACGGCCCAGACUCCUACGGGAGGCAGCAGUAGGGAAUCUUCGGCAAUGGACGGAAGUCUGACCGAGCAACGCCGCGUGAGUGACGAAGGUUUUCGGAUCGUAAAGCUCUGUUGUAAGAGAAGAACGAGUGUGAGAGUGGAAAGUUCACACUGUGACGGUAUCUUACCAGAAAGGGACGGCUAACUACGUG